ACGGUCCUAAGGUAGCGAAAUUCCUUGUCGGGUAAGUUCCGACCCGCACGAAAGGCGUAAUGAUUUGGGCACUGUCUCGACAAUGCACCCGGUGAAAUUGAAAUACCAGUGAAGAUGCUGGUUACCUGCGCCAGGACGGAAAGACCCCAUGGAGCUUUACUCCAGCUUGAUACUGGGAUUCGGUAUUGCAUGUACAGGAUAGGUGGGAGGCUGAGAAUCGGUAACGCCAGUUGCCGAGGAGCCGUUGUUGGGAUACCACCCUUGCAGUACUGGGUUUCUAACCAGCAGCCGUGAUCCGGCUGGGGGACAAUGUCAGGUGGGGAGUUUGACUGGGGCGGUCGCCUCCGAAAGGGUAUCGGAGGCGCUCAAAGGUUCCCUCAGAAUGGUCGGAAACCAUUCGAAGAGUGCAAAGGCAGAAGGGAGCUUGACUGCGACACCGACGGGUGGAGCAGGUACGAAAGUAGGACUUAGUGAUCCGGUGGUAUAAAGUGGGAUUGCCAUCGCUCAACGGAUAAAAGCUACCCUGGGGAUAACAGGCUUAUCACUCCCAAGAGUUCACAUCGACGGAGUGGUUUGGCACCUCGAUGUCGGCUCAUCGCAUCCUGGGGCUGUAGUAGGUCCCAAGGGUUGGGCUGUUCGCCCAUUAAAGCGGUACGCGAGCUGGGUUCAGAACGUCGUGAGACAGUUCGGUCCCUAUCCGGCGUGGGCGUAGGAUAUUUGAGAGGAGCUGUCCUUAGUACGAGAGGACCGGGAUGGACUGGCCGCUGGUGUAUCUGUUGCAUACCAAAUGCAUGGCAGAGUAGCCAAGCCGGGACGGGAUAAACGCUGAAGGCAUCUAAGCGUGAAGCCCCCCUCAAGAUGAGAUAUCCCAUUCGAAAGAAGUAAGACCCCUGGAAGACUACCAGGUGAUAGGUCAUCGGUGAAAGAGUGGUAACAUUUGGAGCUUGAUGAUACUAAUCGGUCGAGGACUUGAUCUA
rnacentral:rRNA from 1 species